CUCACAUGUCACAAGGGCCCGAGCACAUACGCUUGACUGAGCUGUGGCUGAGCAUAUGAGGCUCAUGUGACAGGAGUUGCUGCAUGCAUCUGUUCCAAGUAAUGCUUGGGGAAGUUGUCAUCAAGACCCACCCGGUGGCAGAAAUUCAUGGGUGGGGACUACAUCGGGCCUUUCCAAAAACACAAAGACUUUUGUUGAGUGUUCUCAGAAUGAAGAGAAGAGAAAGACGACUUUCACAGGCUUGGACAGAGAAAGAGAUGAGAGAGGAGAAAUGUUGCAACAGUCCUCAAACACUUAGUACCUCAGUGCACUGUAGAAGACUUCUCACCACUACAGUCCAUACCAGGAGGCCUAGAGGUGUCACAAAGGUCUCUGGGGGCGACGAGCAAUCCUCACAACGCAGCAGAACACACUCCCAUGACCUCAGGUCACUGGGCAUUAAAAAUCCAGAUGACUUCAUUUGCUGGUGGACAACAUCCUGAGCACAUGGAUUUGAAAGUCCAGUGCCUGUCACAGUGAAGUUUCAUAGAAUGAAUGAAUGAACAAUGACAGAAAGAAAUGAAGAGAUACUGAGAGGGUGCACAGGGAACAAUUCCAUUUUAUCCUAAAGGUAAAUCGGCUGAGUGGUAAGUGAGACUUAGGGAUUUAUUCACAUACUGCGGAGAAGGCAAGAUUGCCAAAGCCCUAUUUUGCUAAAAGGACUAUAUCGGGGGCCAAUGAAAAGAAAGAAAACGGACUAAUAGAAUUUAGGUGGACUUGAAACUAACGUAGAAAACAGCUGCCUGAUAUCAACCACAACUUUUCGCAUCUCUUUGGAUCUAUGGGAAGAUGAGGGAGACUUGGGAUUUUAGUUUGGUUGUAAGAGUCCACUGGAAGCAAUUUCUACAGUAGAAAACAUGUAGCAGAUGAGAAGAGUAUUCACAGCAGAACCCUUAAUUUCUUCAUGAAAAAAUGGAUAUGUAGUUUUCUUUCACUUAGAAGACUGUGUAGCAGAAGCAGCAGAAGACAGCUGGUUUCUACUCUCAGUCCCUGUUUCGGAUGCCCCAACACUCUGGCUAUAAGCUGCCAUAUGGUUGCUAGAAAUCAAACCUGGGUCUUCUGGAAGAGUAGACAGUACUCUUAAUUGUUGAGCCAUUUCUCCAGCCCUGCAUCUUUUAUUCUAAUGAGGUACAUCCUGAUGGUCACCUGGAUACUUUGCAAUGGGAGAUGGUCCAGCCAUGACUAGAAGCUUGGAACUUCCAGUAGAACCCCGAUUUCUGAAAAGAAACAGUCUGGACAGAGGUACUCUGCAUCAGUGCAUGGAGCUGCUCCCAAAAGACAUGAGUUAUUAAAUAAAACCUCAGUGCCAAGCAUAGAAUAUUACGCUAGAAGCUAUUGGUCCCGGAGGCCCCAAAACAACACAAGCUAUUGCCGUUGCUCUUGGGUGCCCACCUGAACCAGAUGGCAAGAUCAUAUUGCCGAAGACACCGCACAACACACUUGGUUUGCUGGACAUAGAGAAGUUAACCUUGCACUGACCAGGAAACUCUUCACCACCUGGCUAGCUUCCACGGAGAUUGAAAAUGCUAUAUCUGUGCUACUCUCAACCUUGGCCAGAGAAGCUUCUCUUUGCAAUGGUAGUGGUCAAUGAAGACAAUCAAGACUGGUCAAAGAGCUGAGGAUGGAUCCUACUGAAAUAUUAUGGAUUCCUCUGACUCCUUUGGGCCCAGGCCAUCAAGGACAAUAGUGGAUGGUGAGGAAACAAUGGAAGUCAGCCAAAAGAUAGCAGACCUCCAACUAAAGGGCAAAAGGAAAUAUCAACCAUAUCAUCAGAAGUCAAGUUCCUUGCUUGGGGCCAAGUUAAGUCCCUGUGCACCAAGGGAGAAGUUAAUUUACUCUGUUUAUGAAUGGACCUUGGGAC
rnacentral:lncRNA from 1 species